AGAAUCCACAAGAUCCUUUUGUUAAAAGAGAACUAACUAAAAGUGAUCAUGGUACCAUUAUGGGACUCAUUGACAAAGAUAUAGCUCCAAAAUAUAAAGAAUUGGCUGUACAAUUCUGUAUCCCUCAGGG